rnacentral:rRNA from 1 species
UACAGAGGGUGCAAGCGUUGUCCGGAAUUACUGGGCGUAAAGGGCGCGUAGGCGGUCCAAUAAGUAGGGGGUGAAAUCUCACGGCUCAACCGGGAGGCUGCCUUCUAGACUGUUGGACUUGAGCACGGUAGAGGCAGAUGGAAUUCCCGGUGUAGCGGUGGAAUGCGUAGAGAUCGGGAAGAACACCAGUGGCGAAGGCGAUCUGCUGGGCCGUUGCUGACGCUGAGGCGCGACAGCGUGGGGAGCAAACAGGAUUAGAUACCCUCGUAGUCC